GCGGCGUGCUUAACACAUGCAAGUCGAACGGAAAGGCCCUGCUUUUGUGGGGUGCUCGAGUGGCGAACGGGUGAGUAACACGUGAGUAACCUGCCCUUGACUUUGGGAUAACUUCAGGAAACUGGGGCUAAUACCGGAUAGGAGCUCCUGCUGCAUGGUGGGGGUUGGAAAGUUUCGGCGGUUGGGGAUGGACUCGCGGCUUAUCAGCUUGUUGGUGGGGUAGUGGCUUACCAAGGCUUUGACGGGUAGCCGGCCUGAGAGGGUGACCGGCCACAUUGGGACUGAGAUACGGCCCAGACUCCUACGGGAGGCAGCAGUGGGGAAUAUUGCACAAUGGGCGGAAGCCUGAUGCAGCAACGCCGCGUGCGGGAUGACGGCCUUCGGGUUGUAAACCGCUUUCGCCUGUGACGAAGCGUGAGUGACGGUAAUGGGUAAAGAAGCACCGGCUAACUACGUGCCAGCAGCCGCGGUGAUACGUAGGGUGCGAGCGUUGUCCGGAUUUAUUGGGCGUAAAGGGCUCGUAGGUGGUUGAUCGCGUCGGAAGUGUAAUCUUGGGGCUUAACCCUGAGCGUGCUUUCGAUACGGGUUGACUUGAGGAAGGUAGGGGAGAAUGGAAUUCCUGGUGGAGCGGUGGAAUGCGCAGAUAUCAGGAGGAACACCAGUGGCGAAGGCGGUUCUCUGGGCCUUUCCUGACGCUGAGGAGCGAAAGCGUGGGGAGCGAACAGGCUUAGAUACCCUGGUAGUCCACGCUGUAAACGGUGGGUACUAGGUGUGGGGUCCAUUCCACGGGUUCCGUGCCGUAGCUAACGCUUUAAGUACCCCGCCUGGGGAGUACGGCCGCAAGGCUAAAACUCAAAGGAAUUGACGGGGCCCCGCACAAGCGGCGGAGCAUGCGGAUUAAUUCGAUGCAACGCGUAGAACCUUACCUGGGUUUGACAUGGAUCGGGAGUGCUCAGAGAUGGGUGUGCCUCUUUUGGGGUCGGUUCACAGGUGGUGCAUGGCUGUCGUCAGCUCGUGUCGUGAGAUGUUGGGUUAAGUCCCGCAACGAGCGCAACCCUUGUUCACUGUUGCCAGCACGUUAUGGUGGGGACUCAGUGGAGACCGCCGGGGUCAACUCGGAGGAAGGUGGGGAUGACGUCAAGUCAUCAUGCCCCUUAUGUCCAGGGCUUCACGCAUGCUACAAUGGCUGGUACAGAGAGUGGCGAGCCUGUGAGGGUGAGCGAAUCUCGGAAAGCCGGUCUCAGUUCGGAUUGGGGUCUGCAACUCGACCUCAUGAAGUCGGAGUCGCUAGUAAUCGCAGAUCAGCAACGCUGCGGUGAAUACGUUCCCGGGGCUUGUACACACCGCCCGUCAAGUCAUGAAAGUUGGUAACACCCGAAGCCGGUGGCCUAACCGUUGUGGGGGAGCCGUCGAAGGUGGGACUGGUGA
rnacentral:rRNA from 1 species